UACGUAGGGGCCUAGCGUUGUCCGGAUUUAUUGGGCGUAAAGGGUGCGUAGGCGGCGCGGUAAGUCGGGUGUGAAAUCUCGGAGCUUAACUCCGAAACUGCAUUCGAUACUGCCGUGCUUGAGGACUGGAGAGGAGACUGGAAUUUACGGUGUAGCGGUGAAAUGCGUAGAUAUCCGGAGGAACACCGGUGGCGAAGGCGGCUUCCUGGACCGACACUGACGCUGAGGCGCGAAAGCGUGGGGAGCAAACAGG
rnacentral:rRNA from 1 species